rnacentral:rRNA from 1 species
AACGAACGCUGGCGGCAUGCCUAACACAUGCAAGUCGAACGAGACCUUCGGGUCUAGUGGCGCACGGGCGCGUAACGCGUGGGAACCUGCCCUUAGGUUCGGAAUAACUCCCCGAAAGGGGUGCUAAUACCGGAUAAUGUCUUCGGACCAAAGAUUUAUCGCCUUUGGAUGGGCCCGCGUUGGAUUAGCUAGUUGGUAGGGUAAAAGCCUACCAAGGCGACGAUCCAUAGCUGGUCUGAGAGGAUGAUCAGCCACACUGGGACUGAGACACGGCCCAGACUCCUACGGGAGGCAGCAGUGGGGAAUAUUGGACAAUGGGCGAAAGCCUGAUCCAGCGAUGCCGCGUGAGUGAUGAAGGCCUUAGGGUUGUAAAGCUCUUUUACCCGGGAUGAUAAUGACAGUACCGGGAGAAUAAGCUCCGGCUAACUCCGUG